rnacentral:sRNA from 1 species
AUAGGUUUCACAAAUUUAACGUUUAAUCAUUUUAAUGUAUUUAUUUACUUACAUUGAAUAUUUAAUAACGUUGAGUCAUGAUUGUGGAGAUAUCUUAUAGAUGAAACCUACUAAGGUAUAAGAGCACCACCAACGGUGGUUCUUUAACAGGGUCUCUGUCAACAAAAAAAAGAAAAAUAACUAAAAGAUAAAAGUUUUACGAGAGAGACUCUAAAAUCCCUUAUCUAAGGGAUAGUCUUACGAAAUAAUAAACUUUUAUUAGUAAUCAGUUUAU